rnacentral:rRNA from 1 species
UCGCGGAUCAGAAUGCCGCGGUGAAUACGUUCCCGGGUCUUGUACACACCGCCCGUCACACCAUGGGAGUCGGAAAUGCCCGAAGUCUGUGACCCAACCUGAGAGGGAGGGAGCAGCCGAAGGCAGGUCUGAUGACUGGGGUGAAGUCGUAACAAGGUAUC